rnacentral:sRNA from 1 species
GCAGGGCGUGGAGACGCACGCCUGUAAUCCCAGCGGCUCGGAAGGCUGAGGCAGGAGGAUCGCGAGUUCAAAGCCAGCCUCAGUGAAAGCAAGGUGCUAAGCAACUCAGUGAGACCCUGUCUCUA